GGGGCUGAUUCUGGAUUCGACGGGAUUUGCGAAACCCAAGGUGCAUGCCGAGGUGCGGUAGGCCUCGUAAAUAAACCGCAAAAAAAUAGUCGCAAACGACGAAAACUACGCACUAGCAGCUUAAUAACCUGCAUAGAGCCUUCUCUACCUAGCCUCCGCUCGUAGGACGGGGAUCAAGAGGAGUCAAACCCAAAACGAGAUCGUGUGGAAGCCUUGCUUGGGGCGGAAGCAUUAAAUUUAAUCAAGCUAGUUUAUCAGUGGCGUGUUUGUCCGCAGCGGGUAAGCGAAACUCAAAGACAAACUACGCAUGUAGUACCAAGGAUGUAGAGAUUUCGGACGCGGGUUCAACUCCCGCCAGCUCCACCA
rnacentral:tmRNA from 1 species